AUUGAACGCUGGCGGCAGGCCUAACACAUGCAAGUCGAGCGGAUGACGGGAGCUUGCUCCUUGAUUCAGCGGCGGACGGGUGAGUAAUGCCUAGGAAUCUGCCUGGUAGUGGGGGACAACGUUUCGAAAGGAACGCUAAUGCCGCAUACGUCCUACGGGAGAAAGCAGGGGACCUUCGGGCCUUGCGCUAUCAGAUGAGCCUAGGUCGGAUUAGCUAGUAGGUGAGGUAAUGGCUCACCUAGGCGACGAUCCGUAACUGGUCUGAGAGGAUGAUCAGUCAAACUGGAACUGAGACACGGUCCAGACUCCUACGGGAGGCAGCAGUGGGGAAUAUUGGACAAUGGGCGAAAGCCUGAUCCAGCCAUGCCGCGUGUGUGAAGAAGGUCUUCGGAUUGUAAAGCACUUUAAGUUGGGAGGAAGGGUUGUACGUUAAUACCGUGCAAUUUUGACGUUACCGACAGAAUAAGCACCGGCUAACUCUGUGCCAGCAGCCGCCGUAA
rnacentral:rRNA from 1 species